rnacentral:rRNA from 1 species
ACGUGUUACAAUGGGGGGUACAGAGGGCCGCUACCACGCAAGUGGAUGCCAAUCCCCAAAACCUCUCUCAGUUCGGAUUGAAGUCUGCAACCCGACUUCAUGAAGCUGGAUUCGCUAGUAAUCGCGCAUCAGCCACGGCGCGGUGAAUACGUUCCCGGGCCUUGUACACACCGCCCGUCAAGCCAUGGGAGCCGGGGGUACCUGAAGUGCGUAACCGCAAGGAGCGCCCUAGGGUAAAACUGGUGACUGGGGCUAAGUCGUAACAAGGUACC